UAGCCCAUUGUUGAGGGAGGACACUCAGAGUUUAAGUCACUUGCUCUCUAUUUGGGAGUGGAGAAGAUGAGAGGUAAAGCUGCUUUGUGGAGCAGGAUGGGCCAGUAAGGAUUAUUUAAAUGCACUGCAAUGACACCAACUUAAACGUUUUGCAAUCACACAAUCUUCCUUGAGCUUCUUCCAAGAUGGAGCAGAUAAGGAUGGAAACACAAACCAACCAACUUUAUCUUCGUUUGGAGGACUGAGAAUCGUAGAAGGCAACUGACUUGCCCAGUUCAGCUUUCUCGUUCUAGUUCUCCUCAUUAAACUUGACUGCUUUCUAGAAGUUAAUCAACAAAUACACACUCUCAGGCUGCUUUGGCCCAGUUUCCUGAUUAGGCAAUCAGGGAAAAAAGGCUAGGCACUGUAGAACCCCAGGUCCUGCAGCUCCCCCAUGUGGUUGUAUUUUGACAAAAGCAUGCUUCUGGGAGAGGAGCUCACGUAAGGAACCAGCCCUUCCAUGGCUGUCAUAGCAGAAGUGCAGCUGGGGGCCAUUUUGUCAAGAAGUGCUCAUUUGGAAAAACAAAACAAAACAGAAAACGAAAAAAAAAAAGAAUCUAUACAGGUGCAUGCCGGUCCUCCAGUAAUGAAAUAUAACAAAGGAAGCACUUAAGUUCAGUGAGGGAAAUACAGCCUUAAAUUACAGAUGGUACCCAGAGCACUUUAUAAACGGUAAUGUGUGACAAUGUAUUAUCCUUACUUCUGUGAAAUUGUGGACUGCAACUUCUACCCGGGCCAGUUAAAGGGCCAGGAGAUGGAGAGGGUUGCGUGAAUACCGUUCAAGAAAAGGGCAACAGAGGCUAAGGGGUUAAACUCCCCAGAAAACCAAUUUAUGCAAAGGGCUGGAUCCUGACCGGCAUUCUGCGCUAAAGAUCUGAAUUACAAAUUUAGAGAAUUUGCUGCUCGACGACGAACGCAGGAAGGACCUCACUGGCUGCUGGGAACAACUGCCCUUUUGAAUGAAUUCUUUUAUGGUUACCAGUCAAAAAGUCACCGUCAGCUGGAACUGGAAGGGAGGUGUGUGUGCAUGUGUGUGCGUGUGUGCGUGUGUGUGUGUGUGUGUGUGUGUGUGCAGUGGCAGCCAUUUCAGCUCAAUAGCUCCAUUCCUGGAAAGGCCACUUCUUCUUGACAUGGGAGAAGACACGCUUCCCUGUGUACCUAAAAAUAAAUAAUAAGUCAAUAAAUAAUCAUGAUAAUAAAGGCAUUUUUGCUCCUUCC